GUGUGUGUUGUCAGUGAUGUAUCUGUUAAUCUGAAUACAUGUCUGAAGUCAAUACACAGUAAUUUCGUCACUACCACUGAGACGACACUCAU